CUUUGUCGUUGACCUCGAGGACCCAGCUCCUCAACCCUGAUGCUGUAAGGAAUUGCAUUCCUAAAUCCUGGUGAUCCCAUUGGAUGAAGAAUUUUUAAAAAAAUGUCCGUUUAAAUGUUUUUACGAAAGGUAUAGAGAUAUCUUGCAUCCAGAAGACAGUAUUAUGGAUAGGCUACUUUUGUCUUGGACAAUCAAGUCAAAAAAAGUUCCCACGGGAUUUUUAAAAACCUAAAUCCACGCGGGUGAAGCUGCCGGCAUCUAGUUAAUUAAUAUAAUUUUCAAUUUAUCCAUAUGAAAAUGUCUAAAUAGUAUGUUUAUAUAUAAUGCUAUGUAGUAAAAGGAAAGCAGUCUGGAUCUGACUAUGUCUCAUAUUAUAGUCAUAUCUGAUAAUAUUAUGUGACAACACAAGUUUUUCUUAAACUUAAAAUAACAAUAAAUAAACUAGGCUAAAUGUAACAUUUAUCAUUCUGUCGCUUUUAUAAUCAGUCUCAUGUUUAGAAAAACAAAUCAAAUACGAGUAUGUAGGUAUAUAACAGGGUGUUACUUUGUCUAGUCUGUAAAGUGCUGAUACUUAAUAUACGGCUAUCAGUAAUUUUAUUACUUAAACAAUUAGUGAUACAUAAUAUUAUGUCAUAUACUUUUAUGUACACAAGUGCUUCUGUUAGCGACCAAGAGUAAAUCACAGGAAGUUGAUGAAUUAGGAAGCAAAGUAGGUGAUUACUGUUACCACCACAAGUAUUGUGCAGAUUACCAGUAAGGUAGUAAGGGGUC